CUUACAGUAACUUGAUAGCAUUGAAGCAUUCACAUUGAAACAAUGGACCUUAUUUUGUUGCUAAUCCCAAAUGGACCCUUAUACUCUAUGCACAUGUGUUGAUCUGAGAUGAUUUGAUGGUUUUAAACAAUAUGAUUAAACUUCCACCUAGCCUAUCAGAGGGCUAAUUGGAAUAAUGACAAAUUUGCUCACAUAAGUCAAAUCCUCUCAGAUCUCCUCAAGUGCAUAAGGAGUAGGGUCUAAGGCAGGGUCAUUCAACUCUUACCCUACGAGGGUUGGAGCUUGCUGGUUUUCUGCUCUACCUGAUAAUUAAUUGUACACACCUUAUUUCCCAGGUCUAAAUCAGUCAGUCCCUGAUUAGAGGAAAACAUUUUAUUUUUUAAUUUAGUGGAACUUCCUUCAAGGUUCAGAGUUGAGUUUGAGGGGUCUAGGGGUUGAUUUAGGAUUGGGCCAUACUUUUGUAUUCAGAACUUUCAAUUGAAGUGUGACAUACAUUAGACGUCUGUUAUGGUUAACAUGUGAUUCAGUUUGUCUCAAGGAGGUUUCUCUAAGCUCAACUGGAAGUGUCACAGAGUAGAGGUACGGUAAUUGGCUUGAUACUAUUUAAAAACAUUGAAGCAUUCACAUCGAAACAGUGGACCUUAUUUUGUAUUGUCACAUUUUAGAGCCUGAACUUUCAAAUGAACUCAGAUGUCUGUUAAUGUUAACAUGUGAUUCAUUUUGUCUCAGACAUCACUCUACUCAACCGUAAACAAUGGACCUCACAAGACAGCAGAUGUAUGGCUUACAGUAACUUAAUAUAAUUAAAAACAUUGAAUCAUUCACAUCAACACAAUAGACCUUAUUUUGUGGCGUCAACAAUGAAGUGUGACAUACAGUACAUUAGGCUUCCGUUAACAGACAUCUCUCCACCCAACCGUACUGCAACAGUCCCAGUCUCUCCACUCGUCCCACUGUCUCCCCAACCAGAAGAGGGGGACCUGCCCUCUGUGAGAAAUGAAGCAUCUAUAAUGAAGCAUUUGAAAGAGUGAAAUAUGUGGGGGUUGUUACAACCACCUGGAUUGUUACAGAUUCAGAUGUGUAUUGCUAAUGAACCAAAAAAGGUAACCCCAAAAACGUUAAACUGUGAACGACCUGGCAAGACAUGGAAAAUGCAACGGCCAGAUUUCUGGAGACCACAGGUUGCAGGGAGGGUUGAAGAGGAGGUUGUGGAGGAGUGAGCCCUUGACUCCCCUGUACCAUAGACGGUGGUCAGACAAGACAAUUGUGUAAUCUGUGUGUGUGUGUGUGUGUGCCAAUCAGAUUGCAGAUGUCUGAAUUGUUAGCAAAAAUAUAUUUUAUUUUGUAAGAUUUUAUUACUUUUUUUUCAAAAAAUACAAAACAUGCACAUACCAACAACAGCAUACAGACGCACACAAACAUCAAUGACAUAACACCUGGCCAGACCCACCUGCUCACACCCCAUCCAUCUCCAGCGCCCGCAUCACUCUCCGCAACAUGGCCUCAAACUGUACCAUUUUGUUUUACUCUGUCACCAACGCAUUUUCAACAUUUUAGAUGAUAUAGUAUUGGACUUUUCCAUUGUGUUAGUGAUGGAGGAUUGGUUGAUUUCCAGUUAAGUGUGCAUUUUUUUUCAAGAUGAUUGAUGAAAUGUAUCCUUCAACCCAUCGGGUAUCUCACUGCUCACUCAUAUGCCAUGUCUUGAAAUAUGCAGACAGAUGGAUUAAAAUUCAUUUACAUUGUGAUACUUCUGACAGACAACUUUCUAUCUCUGCCAAUAACAUUUGGACUUCAUAGCAUCCGCAGAAGGCAUGGAUUAUUGUUAGUUUUAUGCUUAAGACAUGACUCUGCCAUUGUGCUGACGUAUGUGAUUUUUAUCUUUGUAUAAUACAUUCUAUACAUUAGUUUAUACUGGA